rnacentral:rRNA from 1 species
GUCCACGCCGUAAACGAUGGAUGCUAGGUGUUGGGGGUAUUGACCCCUCCAGUGCCGCAGUUAACGCAUUAAGCAUCCCGCCUGGGGAGUACGGCCGCAAGGCUAAAACUCAAAGGAAUUGACGGGGGCCCCGCACAAGUGGUGGAGCAUGUGGUUUAAUUCGACGCAACGCGCAGAACCUUACCUGGGUUAAAUCGCCAAGAAUCCUGCAGAGAUGUGGGAGUGCCCUUCGGGGAACUUGGUAGAAGGUGCUGCAUGGCUGUCGU